rnacentral:lncRNA from 1 species
GAGGCUCAGCUUGGGGACAACUAGUUUGUUGCCAAAUAAAACCAGAUUGGCCCUGAGGUGGGGCCUCUGGAACCGGCUGGGACAGGCCUGAGGCAGCCGUGGCCUGUCCUUAGAGCAGAGGACUCUCCUCACUUGCAGGCCCACUGCACGUGCUGAGGCUUCAUGUCGCAAGGCGCUGUUGUGUGGUAGGAAUCUUUACAUCUGCCCCACAUCUCUGCUGCUAUGCCUCAUCAGAUCAACCCUCUGGGCUUGAAGAAGUGCCAUCCAGGCAUGCUAAUAAUGCUUUUAGAGGUUUAUACAAUUUUCUCAGUAAGCACCUUUUAAUUUUCUGAACUAUUUUGUGUACAAAGCAAUGCGCAUCCAUAGUAAUGUGAAAUAAAACAAUCUAGGGAUUGUAUUCA